UUCUCGCUGUUUUAUAUGUCACUGGUGGGAAUUAGAAAGGGGGUAGCAUCUAGAAGGAAGAACACUGAUUCAUGAAUGGCCAUUGAUUUCGUCCUGGGGAGGACUGAGUCUGGGAAUUUAGCUACUCCUGGCAGAGUACCUCUGAGCAGGCCCACAGAACCACAGGCUUCCCAGCACCUUAGACAAUGGUGUGUGAGCAGCAGCCUCGUGACUCAUGGAGGGCGAGCUGGCAGGGGGUGAUCCAGAGCAGGCAGGAGACUACUUCUAACGAGGAGCUACACUGUAGCCAAAUGACUAGCAGCGCUCACUCUGCGUGCUGGGAAACUGGGCCGUCGGCUGCAUACUGCCGCCUCACUUCCUCCCCCAAAGAGGGUGUGUUUGUCAAAAAAGGCCCCGGGCCUGGAGCUGAGGCGCAGGAUCGGACACAUCUGGAAGGUGUAAGGCACCGGGCUGGCAAUUAAUCUGAAGAAGCAAAUGUGACGGUCGUAAAGAAGACAAUUUUCAUGUCCGAGAGACCCACGAACAUGGUGCCUCAGAAUAAAUCCACAUUCACAGGACGGUAACAUUAUUUGGAAAUUAUAGCGUCUUAAAACUAACCAAAUCUGUGGAAAAUGGGCACUCGUCGCUUCCUUGGAAGGCCUUUGGGAAAAUACGUCUCCAAGUGUCCCGAGGAGCCAGCACUUCGGAGAGAGGGCAGGAACCUCGUGUCCUUUCUCUCUUACGUCUGGUCAUGUCUAACGUGGGAGUUCGUUGAGCCUGACAGGCAGAUCGUCCUUAAAGGCAGCUGAUCUCAUUCCCCGUGGGCGCCGAGUUCCUCCUUCCUGAACUUGUGGGUGAGCCCAGAAGCUCUGGCGCUGCCCAUGACUCACCCCGCCCCCGCCCUACUGUGUGCAGGCGCCCUGAGAAGGCCCGCAGAACCCCAUGGCCACCGAGCAGCGGAACGGCGUCUUCUGCGAUUAGACAGCUCUCCUAAGCCUCUGUGGUUCACGCGAAAAGCAUUCUUCCAAUUGUCGCAGAUGUGAAAUACCCUGCGUUUUCCAGUCAACGAUGAAAAGCUCAGGGUCCUAUUUUUGCAGGAGAUGCUGGCACCGUUUGAGUUCGAGGGGAAAGCAUUCGAAACUUGAGUGGUAUGUAUAUUUAUUCUGCGUCUAAAUCUUGCACACGAAGGAGAGAUUUUUUUUUCAGUUAUUCAGGUUUUAUCAGGGUAGAGAAAGUCAAGACGGAUGGUGCGCUCUCCAAAUAAAAUAUUUUUUAUUACGUUGACUGGAUGCUUAACAAAUAGUUAUUUUUGGUAGUGUAAAAUGGACUGCCUUAGCUCCUCCGCCCCUCGGCCCCCCUCGUCUGUGAAACGACCUGCGUGCCAGGUGCCACCCUCGUGCCUCAGGAAUCCAGAAGCCUGGCCAAAAGGAAGCGCGCUAAUGUCCUCUGUGGAUCUGUUUUCUCAGAAGCCUUUCCUUUUUCUUUUAAAAAAUUCUACAUCUCCACCCCCAUCCACCACUGAGUCCCUAGCGUGCCGUCUCCACGAUCGUUCCUGUGGGGUCCCUAAUAGUAUCUCUCAGCCCCUCGCUUUCGGCUCUCCCUACAUGCUGCUCCUUCCCCUGGAAGGACCUUCUUCCUCAGUCCUAUUAACCGGCUCUGCUCCCUUAUGGGCCAAGUUCAAGUAUCACCCAUCUAGGGUCCCUGAGAGCCCCAUCGGCCACAGAUGCUGCACCCCCUCCAUCCUCUGCAGACCCCGAGGACCCUCCCAGCAUUCUGUGCAUGCCGCUGCCACGGCACCUGUCAUGCUGAACUGUAAGUGUUGACUUACAAGCCUGACUCGACCAUAUUUAUAAUGCUAUAUAUAUUUUGAUUCUGUAAGUUCUGGCAGAGUGCCUCGCACAUGGUAAGUGUUAUUAAAUGCCCCCUGAAUCAACCAAUCGACUUAAUAAAAUUAGUCAAAUGUUUUGCA